GAUGAACGCUGGCGGCGUGCCUAAUACAUGCAAGUCGAGCGAACAGACGAGGAGCUUGCUCCUCUGACGUUAGCGGCGGACGGGUGAGUAACACGUGGAUAACCUACCUAUAAGACUGGGAUAACUUCGGGAAACCGGAGCUAAUACCGGAUAAUAUAUUGAACCGCAUGGUUCAAUAGUGAAAGACGGUUUUGCUGUCACUUAUAGAUGGAUCCGCGCCGCAUUAGCUAGUUGGUAAGGUAACGGCUUACCAAGGCGACGAUGCGUAGCCGACCUGAGAGGGUGAUCGGCCACACUGGAACUGAGACACGGUCCAGACUCCUACGGGAGGCAGCAGUAGGGAAUCUUCGGCAAAGGGCGAAAGCUUGACGGAGCAACGCCGCGUGAGUGAUGAAGGUCUUCGGAUCGUAAAACUCUGUUAUUAGGGAAGAAAAAAUGUGUAAGUAACUAUGCACGUCUUGACGGUACCUAAUCAGAAAGCCACGGCUAACUACGUG
rnacentral:rRNA from 1 species